rnacentral:rRNA from 1 species
UACGUAGGGUGCAAGCGUUAAUCGGAAUUACUGGGCGUAAAGCGUGCGCAGGCGGUUUUGUAAGACAGUGGUGAAAUCCCCGGGCUCAACCUGGGAACUGCCAUUGUGACUGCAAGGCUGGAGUGCGGCAGAGGGGGAUGGAAUUCCGCGUGUAGCAGUGAAAUGCGUAGAUAUGCGGAGGAACACCGAUGGCGAAGGCAAUCCCCCUGGGCCUGUACUGACGCUCAUGCACGAAAGCGUGGGGAGCAAACAGG